CACAAGCUACAUUACACAUAAAUACGGGCAAUCACGCUCAGAUAACAUUUCGAUUCCUGAGUGGGAAAAGACAUAAUCAUGAAGCACUUCAUCCUCACAACAGUCAUCGUAUUAGUAUGUUUGUUGCACUUUUCAAGAGCAGAAAAUACCGAUACGGCUUGCACUGUAGAUGGUAAGCAGUGUAAAGAUAUUGAGAAUGCUUCGUGUGACCAAACACAAAAGAAAUGCAAAUGCAACAAAGGUUUCCAUUUUGAGGCAAGCCUAUGCAUAUUUAGCUCCAGUAAUACAUUCAAAAUUGGAGUAUUUCCACUUUUGCUUGCUUGUUUUACGACAUUUAAAUCGAUGCUA